rnacentral:lncRNA from 1 species
UCCCCUUGAAGUGCCCCCCUCCUCACCUGGCCCCCCUCACCUUGCCUCCUCCCCCUCACUCCUAUGCCAGUCCCUGCCAUUCCCUACCCCCUCUGCUGACCGCAAGACUCAACAAGUGACUUGCUGAGCAAACCCUGCUGAGAAGAGACUUUCUUCAGUCACAUCUGAAUAAAUCACUUAGAAGGAGCUUAUAGCUUCAUUGCACUGUGUGUGACAUUUGGGUCCUGUUUGGCAGCAAUGACUGCCUUUCUGUUUAGUGUCUGUGUGCUAUGAAGAUUGCACACAGGGGUCCAGAUGCAUCCUGUUUUGAGAAUGUUAAUGGAUACACCAGCUGCUGCUUUGGAUUUCACCCAUUGGCG